GCCAUUGUGGUGUAAUGGUUUGAAUGUUGGUCUAGGACACUGGGAGACCAGGGUUCAAAUCCCGGCUUGGACA